rnacentral:rRNA from 1 species
AUGACAGAUGUAGGCGAAGAUGACAAAUGGUUGGGUGACGAAUUGGUUGAUGCUGUGAUUCAGAUCAUGCGUCAUGAUCAUCCUAAUGACAUAAGGGAUGGGCAGCUGGUUUACAUUGAGAUGGUGGCCGGUGUCGCUAUGCUCGAAAGAGAUGGUAAGGUAGAGAACUGCCACGAGGCCGCGUUGGCGGGCAGUCAUGGAACAACAAAAGGAGACAACUACCUCAGACAUGAUCUGGUUUUACUGCCUACGAACAUGGCGAACACCCACUGGUUCCUUGUGGUCGUAAACCCCAGAAGGAGGGAGAUUCAGAUUCUUGAUUCACUUUUCGGCUACCUAGAACGCACACAAGUGGUUCGCGUGAUACGUGGGGUGGAAGCACAUCUGAGAGCAUCGCUGCGAAUCAAUGGACCACAAAGCCAUGCAUGGCAAGACAUUAACGUGACCCAAUGGACAGUAAAGCAUGUGCGUGUGCCAAGACAAGAUGACAAUUCUUCUUGUGCACUCUACAUGCUGAAGAACAUCGAAUUCUUUAUGGGAGAAGAUCUUAGACUGCAUUAUGACCAAGCAUACAUCGACAAUUAUAGAAGAGAGCUGCCUGUUGUCCUUCUUAAUUCGACCUACAACAAAUUGAAGUCCAUGAAAAGGCUGAAGAGUACAAUGCUAGCCUAUCGGAUGCAACUGCAAUUGAAGAUCAUGAAGAUGCAAGCAUUUAAUCCAGCAAUGGUCCAUUCUUAG